AUGCUCCUGUAAUAGCUGUACUUGGUGACUCACAAACUAAAUAUCUCCGUUUCCACUUCGACCCCAGAUCCCGUACUGCCCCGACAAUGUUCGUGUCCAAGAGCGGAGGCCGAAUCGCAGACUUCAAAGAAGAGGUGGACCAGCUGCCCGCAAGUGUUCGUGUCGUGGUGUUGCAGUGUGGGACGAAUGACAUGCCGGACACCGAUCCCGACAUGGCCAUCCGUCGCUAUGUGCAACUCAUCGACCACAUUCGCUCUCGGGGAAACAUCGAACUUGUGGCGACGCGAAUUCCAGUGCAAUCCCCGGGCGUUUGCGUUCAACCAACGACUGAUGACCCUGUGCCGAAGUGCCCGUGACCUGUAUUUCCUGGACCAUGGUUUCCACCGACAGCCCCCCACCAGAGUCCUUGCAGCUGACGGCCUCCACCCCAGUUUCGAAGGAGUCGCCCAGAUCGCCCACCGACUGCAGUCCCUGGUACCCCGGCUGCUCCGCCGGCUACCCACACGUACAGCAAGUACUGGAACGCCGGACCCCGUAUGGCCGACACUCCAGGAGGCUGCAGCUUCGACACAAAGAAGCACACGUGCCGAGAAAUCGUCACGAUCCAGGCAGCAGGAUUGACUAGCCGGCUCACGGGUAUUUCCUCAAGGUCCUGCUGCACAGACCCGGUCAUUCCCCUUUCACUCAGUCACCAACCUAUGUUAGUCAUGACAAAAGCGCAUGCGCUGCUCUCUUUCCCUUGUACAUAACCCUCUCCCAUAUAUAAAGCUUGUUCUUGUCACCAAACCCAAGUCCCGUCGAAGGCAGCGCUGACUGCCGAAACGUCGACCCCUAUCCCUAUAUGUGUUAAUAAACUCCCCUUUGUGUUUUCCUGUAAGCUCUUUGUCGUCUUCUGAUUUUUCCUGCUUAUUUCAUUCUCGUGGUCAACCGCC